AUGGUGCCCAUGGUCACCGAGGCGUGGACGCUCGCCGGGUGCGGCGGGGCCGCGUCCAAGCCCUUGCCGGCGCAGGAGGUCCCCACGCUGCUGCAUCCUACUGCCAAGAAACCCACGUCGUUCAGAGCGGUGGCCGUCGCGAGUAGCACAAGCCAGGACGGUCCCGGCCGGCGCGACGCCGCCGUCGUCGGUAGGCGCGGCGGCAUCGCGUCGUGCCUGCUGGCCGCGCUCGCGCUGGCCGGCUCCUCCUCCUCUGGCGGCGCCGCGCGGGCCGCCAUCCUGGAGGCUGACGACGACCUGGAGCUGCUGGAGCGCGUCAAGGAGGACAAGAAGAAACGGCUCCAGAAGCAAGGGAUCAUCAACUCCUCCGCCGCCGAGACAGGGUACUUGCAGGACCUGGUGUACAAGCUGAGCAAGGUGGGGCAGGCCAUUGACAAGGACGACCUCGCCGCCGCCGGCGACGUCCUCGGCCCCGCCUCCGACGCGCCGUGGGUGCAGAACGUCAAUGCAGCUUUCUCCAAGUUCAGCUCAAGCAGUGAGGAGAAGAGCGCGGUCGACACCUUCAACUCUUCGCUGUCCUCCUUAUUCACAUCAGUGAGCAAGAGCGACAUCAACUCGUCCAAGUCGGCGUUCGUGUCGUCGGCCACGGCGCUGGAGAAAUGGGUGGAGCUGGCCGGGCUCACCGGCAAGCUCAAAGGCUUCUGA
rnacentral:rRNA from 1 species